rnacentral:rRNA from 1 species
GAUGAACGCUAGCUACAGGCUUAACACAUGCAAGUCGAGGGGCAGCAUGUCGAUAGCUUGCUAUUGUUGAUGGCGACCGGCGCACGGGUGAGUAACGCGUAUCCAACCUGCCCUUGUCCAUCAGAUAACCCGUCGAAAGGCGGACUAACACGAUAUGCAGUUCUCUGCAGGAACCUAACGAGAACGCAAUGUAAAGGAGAAGGAUGGGGAUGCGUCUGAUGAGCUUGUUGGCGGGGUAACGGCCCACCAAGGCGACGAGCAGUAGGGGUUCUGAGAGGAAGGUCCCCCACAUUGGAACUGAGACACGGUCCAAACUCCUACGGGAGGCAGCAGUGAGGAAUAUUGGUCAAUGGGCGAGAGCCUGAACCAGCCAAGUAGCGUGCAGGAUGACGGCCCUAUGGGUUGUAAACUGCUUUUAUACGGGGAUAAAGUGAGCCACGUGUGGCUUAUUGCAGGUACCGUAUGAAUAAGGACCGGCUAAUUCCGUGCCAGCCGCCGCGGUAA